UCGAGAAUAAUUCACAAUGGGGGCAACCCUGAUGGUGCAACGCCGCGUGGAGGAUGACGGUCUUCGGAUUGUAAACUCCUGUCAUCUGGGAGUAAGACCUGGCGAUGAAUAGUCGACAGGGUUGAUAGUACCAGAAGAGGAAGGGACGGCUAACUUCGUGCCAGCAGCCGCGGUAAUACGAAGGUCCCAAGCGUUGUUCGGAAUCACUGGGCGUAAAGGGAGCGUAGGCGGCGUGGUAAGUCAGAUGUGAAAUCCCGGGGCUCAACCCCGGAACUGCAUCCGAUACUGCCAUGCUAGAGGAUUGGAGAGGUAGCUGGAAUUCUUGGUGUAGCAGUGAAAUGCGUAGAGAUCAAGAGGAACACUCGUGGCGAAAGCGAGCUACUGGACAAUUCCUGACGCUGAGGCUCGAAGGCUAGGGUAGCGAAAGG
rnacentral:rRNA from 1 species